rnacentral:hammerhead_ribozyme from 1 species
UGGCGAAACACCCUUCAGGUGUCGUCGUGGGGUGGUUCCCACGGCCUGACGAGCCAGCCGUUC